rnacentral:lncRNA from 1 species
UGAGAAUCUGAUAAAAACUGUGAACCCUUAAGGUCCCUUUGUAAACCCACCCUUCAUGAUUGACAGAUACAUUGCUGGGGAACCAGGCUGACUUCACCUUGUGCUGAAGACCAGAAGGACCAAGGCAAAGUGCCCAAGAGGGCCAAGGACCAGUUGGCAUCAAAGAUACUAGUUCCACUGGGGUCAGGAGGACCAGUCUAAGCCAGAAUGGAUAUCAGUUACAAAAAUGGGCUAAGUUGUGCAUGACAGCCAGGUGAAUAAACUCCUAGAGAGGCAAACACCCAAUGAAUGAUCACACAGUUCUUGAUGAUCACUGUGACCCAGUGAGCCAGUGUUAAGGGAGAUUAAUCUAGAAGUUUGCACCACUGGUAACUGAAAGGAUAAGAAUCAUCCAUCUCAGAAAGAUUUUGGGAAAAAACAUUCUGGAUAUUAUUGUUGGCAAGAAACUUCAUAUGAAUCUUCCAUGUGAUAUGGCUCCCUUCAAAU